GAAUGUAUGAGAAUACUACUUGGAUAACCGUAGUAAUUCUAGAGCUAAUACAUGCAACGACGCCCGACCGUUUCACUACGGAAGGGCUGUAUUUAUUGGAUACCAAAACCAUCCUUCCCUCGGGAAGUUUUGUUUGAUGAUUCACAAUAACUGAUCGGAUCGCCACUGUGGUGGCGACAGGUCAUUCAACAUUCUGCCCUAUCAGCUUUCGAUGGUUGUGUAGUGGACAACCAUGGCCAUAACGGGUAACGGAGAAUCAGGGUUCGAUUCCGGAGAAGGAGCUUGAGAAUUGGCUACUACAUCUAAGGAAGGCAGCAGGCGCGCAAAUUACCCAAUCCCGAUUCGGGGAGGUAGUGACAAAAAAUAACAAUACCGGGCCUUUUUGGGCUUGGUAAUUGGAAUGAGGGAGAGUUAAACGGACCAUCGAGUAUCCAUUGGAGGGCAAGUCUGGUGCCAGCAGCUGCGGUAAUACCAGCUCCAAUAGCGUAUAUUAAAGUUGUUGCAGUUAAAAAGCUCGUAGUUGGACUUGUGUGCGCUGUCCGCGGGUGGCCUGCGCCCAAAAGGGCGUUUCGGUUCGGCCCCAGUGGCGCCUUGAAAUCUGCAGCUGGGGGGACGUUGGCCUUAACUGGUCGGCGACCGCACGCCGGCUGCUCGGUUACUGUGAGAAAAUUAGAGUGUUCAAGGCAGGCAUUGGGUGCAAUUGAAUACAUUAGCAUGGAAUAAUAAAAUAUGGCUCCUGCCGUAUUUUGUUGGUUUUGACUGGUGGGAGUAAUGAUUGAUAGGGACGGUUGGGGGUGCUAGUAUUGAGCGGCCAGAGGUGAAAUUCAUGGAUUCGCUCAAGACUAACUUAUGCGAAAGCAUUCACCAAGGACGUCCUCUUUAAUCAAGAACGAAAGUUGGGGGAUCGAAGACGAUCAGAUACCGUCGUAGUCUCAACCAUAAACUAUGUCGACUUGGGAUCGGCGGUAGUUUUUUCAUUAAGACACUGUCGGGACCACGGGAGAAAUCAAAGCGUCUGGACUCUGGGGGAAGUAUGGUCGCAAGGCUGAAACUUGAAGGAAUUGACGGAAGGGCACCACCAGGAGUGGAGCCUGCGGCUUAAUUUGACCCAACACGGGGAAACUUACCAGGUCCAGAGAUAUAGAGGAUUGACAGAUUGAAGCUCUUUCUUGAUCACUUCGGUGGUGGUGCAUGGCCGUUCUUAGUUGGUGGAGUGAUUUGUCUGGUUAAUUUCGUUAACGAACGAGACCUCAGCCU
rnacentral:rRNA from 1 species